CAAAUUGAGAGUUUGAUCCUGGCUCAGGACGAACGCUGGCGGCGUGCCUAAUACAUGCAAGUCGAGCGAGCUGAAUUCAAAGAUCCCUUCGGGGUGAUUUGUUGGACGCUAGCGGCGGAUGGGUGAGUAACACGUGGGCAAUCUGCCCUAAAGACUGGGAUACCACUUGGAAACAGGUGCUAAUACCGGAUAACAACAUG
rnacentral:rRNA from 1 species